GUUUUAAUAGUUUAAAUAAAAUAUUGGUCUUGUAAACCAAAGACAAGAAAAAUCUUUUAAAACU
rnacentral:tRNA from 1 species